rnacentral:sRNA from 1 species
GGCAAUCAAUUUCGAGGCCAUUCCAAGCUUUUAUUUUGCAAAUAACAACUGGAAGCUUCGUUCCUAUUAUAUAUUAUGGUUACCAUUACUUCCGCUGUCACUGAUGCUAUUCCAGGUGGUGCUUGCAUGCUUGUCAGGGCCAGUUCUCAGAUGAUGGGAUGGUGAUACCCAUCCAUGAUUGAUCAUAGAUCUAUGGUGUUGACGGGCAGUAUGUUGCCACGACGCUGGCAACAGUGCCAGCACACAGACACUACGAAUGAUAUAUAUAUAUAUAUAUAUAUAUAAUAACACAAUGGAAGAAGCUGAAUUUGAUUGAGGCUUUAAAUGAUAGUGAGAGUUCCAAAUAUUUUCAUACACAUUCUUGCUAUUCCUGGUGUGUGUGAAAUGGUAAAGUCCCAUCUAUCACCUUUUUAUUGAGAUUCGGCAAGCAGUAGCUCAGGAAUCUGUAACAUCAAAGACAGUAGUGGAGAUUCACAGACGGAUUUUGAUGAGAAGUAUUAUGUAUAGUAUUAACCAUACAAUAAAAGAGCUGGAAAGAGGCCAGCGUUCCCUUCCAGGGAAGCGAAUCACAGAUCAAGUC